rnacentral:sRNA from 1 species
AGGUGAGAAAAACAAUGAGUUGCUUUUGAAAAACCAUGGACUACGCCCAUCAGGUUCUGCUCCAUUCCCUGAAGCGAAUGUGACAUCCUAUGGUCAAGAAAGUGGUUACAACCAUGGUUGUGGCCGUGGUCAUGGUCGUGGUCGUGGUCGCGGUCGUGGUCGUGGGCGUGGAUACACUGGAGGACGAGGCAAUGGAGUUCACUUUAAGAACUCAAACUCUCACAAGAAGUGGGAAAACAAAGAUGGUAACAAACAAGUGAAAAUACCGUAUGCGAAUAUCUGUUACCGUUGUGGAGCGAAAGAUCACUGGUGUUGGUGUCGGAUCCCGCACCAUGGACUUGGGACCGGUCAAAGAUUGCCACAUAAGCAGGAGAGGCCCAAAAGAAGAGAAGCCCAUAGGAUACCCCGAGUUGAUAGCACAAGCGAGGUUUGACCUGCGAAGUGGAUACGGAAUCAAGGUCAAAGUUACCCGGAGUGAAGUGUCGAAUGGGCCGACAGUUGAAGCCCAAGAAGUUCGGAGUCAAUUCAAAUUCGACGUUUGAAUAGAUAAUUCAAAGACUGAAACGGAUAUAUUUAAGAUAGAAUAAUUUUGUGUAAAUGGGAAUUUAAUGUAUUCUUUGGGUAUAAAUUAUGGGUCAAAGACCAUGUAAAGGGACACGCAUUUUUGGGCAAACACACUAUAGGCAUUUUCCUACAAAGCUCAUAGUUUUCUCGAUAGUCAUCAAUCUAUUUUCUAGUACAUUUGUCCUCAAGAAUAAUCCUUCUCACUAAAUAAAUAAAUACUUGAGUGUGUGAAUCCGACAUCCAUAUUUUGGCGCCGUCUGUGGGGACGGAGGAUUCUUGAGUCGUCAGAUUUUUUCUAUAUAUUACAUUUCCGAAGUGAGCCGUAAUGUCUGGAGAAUAUGCUACCAAGGCUUCAUUAGCCGAAACCCUCAAGACCAUGCAACAAACUAUGGCCGAUAUGGCGCAGAAGUUUUCGAAUGUGAAAAAAACCGUCGAAACACUGCAAACAACCCAUGUAUCACUCAGCCAAAAUGUUAGUACUAUUCAGUCUCGUGUCCGUUCUUUGAAUGCAGGCAAUUCUACUAGAGUUCGGAGAACUAUCUUCGGAUCACCAAACUCCCUUCUGCGAAAUGCAACGAGUGAUCAAACGACCCCAGAUGGUACAAACGCGGAUAACCAACCGGAAGAUGGAGAAACGCACCUCGAAGACGACAACCAGUUCGUCGAUCAACACGAGCAAUAAAACUUCGACCA